rnacentral:rRNA from 1 species
UGAGGAAUAUUGGUCAAUGGGCGAGAGCCUGAACCAGCCAAGUAGCGUGCAGGAUGACGGCCCUAUGGGUUGUAAACUGCUUUUAUGCGGGGAUAAAGUGCGUGACGUGUCGUGCAUUGCAGGUACCGCAUGAAUAAGGACCGGCUAAUUCCGUGCCAGCAGCCGCGGUAAUACGGAAGGUCCGGGCGUUAUCCGGAUUUAUUGGGUUUAAAGGGAGCGUAGGCCGCCAGAUAAGCGUGUUGUGAAAUGUACCGGCUCAACCGGUGAAUUGCAGCGCGAACCGUUUGGCUUGAGUGCACGGUAAGCAGGCGGAAUUUAUGGUGUGGCGGUGAAAUGCUUAUAUAUCAUGAAGAACUCCGAUUGAGAAGGCAGCUUGCUGCAGUGAGACUGACGCUGAUGCUCGAAGGUGCGGGUAUCAAACAGG